rnacentral:rRNA from 1 species
AAUUGGUUGUUAUAUCUACCACUAAUAAGACAGAGAGGGUUAACUUCAAAGUAAGUUAUGUGGAUCAAGGUAUGGUGAUUAAUUGGAGUUCUAGUUCAUUUACUUUUGAGAAAAUUAGAGUGUUUUAAAGCAGCCUCUUGGGGCACUGAAUACAUUAGCAUGGGAUAAUAAAUAGGAUCUUCACAAUAUAUUUUAUUGGUUUAAAUUGCGUAUGAAGAUAAUGAUUAAUAGGGACAGUUGGGGGUAUUCAUAUUGGGUGGUUAGCGGUGAAAUGCUCGGAUCCAUUCAAGAUGAACUAAAGCGAAAGCAUUUACCAAGGAUGUUUUCAUUAAUCAAGAACGAAAGUUAAGGGGAUCGAAGACGAUUAGAUACCGUCGUAGUCUUAACUAUAAACUAUGCCGACCAGGGAUAUGAGUUGUUAGGAAUAUACGAAAGUAUAUUCAAUUUCUUCUUAUGGACCUUGUGAGAAAUCAUAAGUUUUUGGGGUUCUGGGGG